rnacentral:lncRNA from 1 species
CACCACGGCCUGCAUACAACUAGAAACCCAUUACUAGCGCCAGGAUGCAGGCCCGUAGUAGGCCCAAUAGGCCCACAAGCACAUAGAGUGAUUUUAGGCCUGUAAGCCUACAGUAGAGAGGAGCUCGAAGUGGUUGGUUCGGCAGGGAUUAUAAACCACUCCGAGCCCCUCUCGGCUAGAGAGGUGGGACUAAACAUAGCACCGCACCACGCUAGUGCAAGGCCUUUGGUCCCGGUUGGUGGCACCAACACGGACUAAAGGGGGGCACUGACCCCGCCGACGCCGUCACCGCCCUCUGCCCCGUCGACACCGUCGUCGCCGUCGUCGCCCCUGCCCCGACCAAGCCGCCGUCCUCUACACCGACCACGCCAUCGUCCUCUACACCGACGUCGCACACCCCCGACCCGCCCCAUCGACGUCGUCGUCGCCCCUGCCCCUAUCUUUUACUUCCCCUCCGGUGCCUACUCCUCCGCCGCCGGCGUGUUCGAGGACGAGUGGCUCGCCGUGGUGGACAAGCCCGCUGGCGUCUACUGCGAGGCCCUCCUCUCUGCCCUCCCUUGCUCCACCGCCUCCUCAGGUACUUCAAAAAGUUUAGGUAGAUCGUGCCAUUAGCUUGCAAUGGCACAGCAAAAUCCUGAGAUACUCUCGGGGUAGUAAAUUUCAAGAGUAGUUCAUGCUGAUGAAACGCAGAUUUGGUUGCUUUCUGCUUUGUGUAGUGUGUACCACUGCAGUUUUUUUGGCGCAGAGGGUGGAUGUGCUAGCCGGAGUGUCUAGCCAUGGCAAGGGCUUGGCGGUUGUCGAGCCUAGCAGCAUUUUCUUUUCUUUCCGAACAAUUUAAUAAUUUUAUGAACUAUGUGUAGUUAUGACUGGAAAUAUUUUUCUUUUCGAUGAAAGAAAAACCAUAUAUCCUUGGAAGCAAGCGUCUAGUCAAUGUAAACAAGAUCGUGAAGCUUAUGAAACAUAUGGACUAUUUUGUUAUUGACGGAAGCAUGUCUGAAGCAGCUUUCUAGUCAUCUAGUUGCCUAGUGGAUGGAAGCAAGAUCGAGAUGCUGUUGUAACAUGUGAAAUAAUUUUAUUUCUUGAUGAAGGCGGUACGAAGCAAUUCUCUAGCCGUCUAGUCGACCGAUGCAAUAUCGUGAUGCUUUUGAAACAAAAUAUCACGUUGGUUACACAAGGCAUACAUUUUAAAUAAAACUAAGCAGAUUUCAUGCAUGAGAUAACCAAAUUCUUCAAUGAACGGAAACAUAUUUUUUAAUUUUUAUAGCAUGAACGGAAAUGUGAAUAAUAUAAUUACGAACAAAGGUGGAAUCAUGUAUUAGUUCCGUUAUAUAUAUAGCUAGGAAGAAGAAAAAGUUUUAUAUAUGCAAAAGUUACAUUUUUAGAAAAGUAUUAUAUAUCUAGCUAGGAAGAUAAGGAAGAAGAAGAAAAAGAAUGAGAGGAAAAAGGAAAAUAAGAAGAGGAAGAAAGGAGAAGAAGAGAAGAGGAAGAAGAGGAGAAAUAAAUAAGAAGAGUAAAAAAUAAGAAAAAUAAGAGGACAAGAAGAAAGGAAUAGAGAAGAAGAAGAAAAAAAUAAAAUAUUUUCUAUUUUUUUAUUCUUCUUCUCCAUUCCUUUCUUCUUCUCCUUUUAUUUCUUUUUUUUUCUUCGAUCGCUUCUCUUCUAUUCCUUUCUUCUUCUCCUCUUUUUAUUUCUUCUUUUGUCUUCUUAUUUUUUAUCGGGUAUGUCGUUAUCGAUAUACCCCCUCCCGAUAACCUUAACACGAGGGGGGCUCGAUAUACCCCCCUCCCCGAUAACAUUAUUUUCCCAUGUAUGUAUGUCGUCGUUGUGGAUAUAACCCCCCCUGGAUAACUUCGACAUCGGGGGCGGUCAAUAUAUAUACCCCCUCUCGACUGUGAUAACUUAUACCACGGGAGCACCCCCCCCCCCCNNNNNNNNNNNNNNNNNNNNNNNNNNNNNNNNNNNNNNNNNNNNNNNNNNNNNNNACCCCCCCCCCCGACCCUCUCGCUCGACCAAAACUCCCGAGGACACCCAAACCCUAGAAAAAAUGAUGUUGGUCUCCUACCCCCUCACGCUGCACCCCUACCCGACAAACUCUCUCGAGGACACCCAAAUUUACCAAGUUAAAAGAGCGUUGUCGUCGAGGCCACCCCAAACCCUUGAAGCGUUGCGGAGGCCACCCCAAACCCUAGAGAAGCAGCGUCGUUGCCACUAAUAUGAUUCUUUAUUGUGAUUAGCUAGCUAGUUCUACGUUUGCCACUAAUAUAUCCAUCUAUCAUGUUUGAAUAAUAAUUGCCAUGUUGUAAAUAUUUGCAGAAACUAUGGAGCACCCCCGAGACGAAGCAACAGAAGAGAUGUUGGGGGAAAUAAUCGCAAAAGGAAGUGAUGUCGUCUUGUCGUUUCUCAACGACACCGAUGGUCUGGAAGGACAGGGUGAAGAAGAAGGCUAUGAUUAUGAUGGCUCCGGUGACCCAUUAAUGCUGGUACAAGAAGAAGGCUAUGAUUAUGAUGGCUCCGGUGACCGAAUCGAGUGCGGCCAGGUAUAUAUAUUAGUUAAGCAUGUGCUGACUAGCUAAUUGAUGCAUUCAUUAUUUUCGUAUGUACACAUAUUAAUUAACUCUCGUCUUCCUUCUUUUCCUAGCCCUCCGGAUUGAGCACAAAUUCGAUAAAGAGACGAGGCCCGAAGAAAAAGUUGCGCUCGGAUAAAAGGUUUGAGAUCAUAGCAAUCGCGCGUGAUGGCAAGCUGAUUUAACCAUACCGGACAAUGGAAGCAUUUUCUAAUCAGUGCGGGGUUCUUGUUAGGGACAAGAUCCCGAUUAGUACCCAGCGAUGGUUAAAGCCUAAGAAGGAAGACCCUGAGGUGUCUUAUGUCUCCGAUAGCAGAAAGAAGAUCUUUGGACAAUGCUUAAGACAAAUUUCACCCUACCGCCAGAGGAGGAUCCGGAGAAGCCAGUUAUAGAGCAAUUGAUCAAGUCUCAUGCUCUUAAGAACUAUUCAGGAGGUGGAAGAAUGAGCUGAAAACGUUUGUCGACAAAGAAAUUACACCAGAAUUCACCGGCCGGUUUGAGAAGAUCAGAUAUCACUGGCCCGCAUUUGUGGCCCACAAGACAUCGGAAAAGAGUAAGAAGAUGUCAACAACAAACAAGAAAAAUGUUGCAAAGAAGAAGCAUCACCAUCGCAUGGGGCCAGGUGGCUACCUCAAAGCCCGACCAUUGUGGGACAAGGCUGAGAAUGACCUGAUUGCUAAAGGGGUCGAACCAGAGACAUUGAACUGGCCAGACCGUUGCCGUAAUUGGUUCUUCGGGGUUGGCAGAACCUUGGACCAUAUAUCAGGGAAGUGCGUUUGGACGGAAGAGCAACUGUGAAUACCCGUCACGAGGCUUAAGGAGUAUAUCGAGAAAGCGCAGCAAGGGAUGUUCGUUCCACACACAGAGAAGGACGAGCUCACAAUGGCCCUCGGGAAUCCUGAGCACCCUGGACGGACACGAGGCAUGCCAGGCUCCGUUCCGUGGAAGGUUGGGUUUCCGGACGUAGGGGGUUACAAAUGCGAGGAGAGGAGGAAGAAAGAGGAGCAUACCAACUGCAGGCGCUGCAUGAAAGGGUACAAGGGCUAGAGGAACGAGAAGGAGAUCGCAGCAAAUGACCUGCCGAAGCUUCCCUUGAAGCUACCCCGCCAUCUCAGCGGAGAAGCAGCAUGGCUUCCACCGAGCAGACUCAGCAGCUGGAGCCUGUCUUCACGGCUCUUGCUAGCUACCUCGUGGAUGCUAUCACGGAGUCUCAACAUUGCCACCUUAUGGCGCGAUGGGUGACAUUGAAAGUCAAGGCGGCUGUUGGAGCUAUUUUACCUACUGAACCAGGCACAACCUACCACGGCCGGUCGAUUCCAGAAGGAUAUGCUAGGGUGAUGGUGGAUCAAAUAACGAACGGAUUUGAGGACCCUCAGCUUGACCACCCUACGGGUGAAGGGGAGAUUCGGUUGGGUUCUUCUCUAAAGACUUCAUGCCUAUGGCGGAAGGAGCUCAUCAACCUUCCGAACUGGACGCCUCCGCCUCCUCCUCCUCCUCCUCCGGCGAGUUAGGUCACUCCGCCUCCUCCUUCGGCGAGUGAUCAGGGCACUCAGUCUCCUUCUCCGACGCGUGGCGGCACUCCGCCUCCUUCUCCGCCUGCGCCGGCGAGCCCGAGCAGCCAGCCUCCUCCUUCUCCGCCUCGUCAACAAGGGCGGAAGAGACCCACCGUCGCUCCGGCUGCUCCGGCGCAUCGUCCUUCUCCUCCGCCUCGUAAGAAAUGAAAGACAGCCGCAGCCGCUCCGUCUGCUCCGGCGUCUAGCAGUACAACAAGAGGCAGACAAUGCAAAUACGGUCCUUCUCUGAAGACUCCAGAGAAGUUACCAUACGAGAGGAGCCAGGAGGAAAACACGAAGAUCGUGCAAGUCGAAGUGAACAACUUCUUUGAAAGGGUGAAAGCAAAGAAACAUCCACCUACGGAGGAGAAGAUAGAUCCGGUAAAAGUGAAGCGUACUCUGGCUGCCUUGAAGAAACCACCAAAGUCUCCGGCGAAAGCCAACUAUGAGCGCAUUAUUACAAAGUCAUUUAUCGAAGCGAAGUGGUUGGGAAAUACUGUCAGUGGUCAAAGGUUAGCAGAACGACGAGCUGGGAAAUAACUUGCCCAACUCGGCGAACAAGUGAACCAAUCGUUCCCCCGCUCAAGGUGUCUAGCGAUAUUUUCGCUAAUCAUCCGGGGAUCUUGUUGCCCGGUACUAAUCGUGGAGAUUACCUGCCCUACGAUGCACAUUUUGAUUUCUUGGAGGUGGACGAACACAAAUACGUGUACGGGAAGCCUCUCGUCAAAGAUGAAAGAUCUCUAACAACGAUGAUGCGAAGAUUCCAUGAUUGGUACAUGAAAACCUACAGAGACUCUGAGGCGAGUAAUAUUUUAACGCUCAGUGUUAGAGAGGAGCAUGACCUCUUUGGAAUUGAACUGUUGAAUGUUCCAUUUGAGGAGUUCUUACCAUUUUUCAAUCUAAAGGCCCUCGAUAAAUUAAUGAUCACUUGCUACUGCCUGUAAGUAGUACUACUUCUGUCAUUAAGUCUCUAUAUAUAGGUCAGCUCUUUCAUUGCAUGUAUUUUUAAUUAUCCUCACUGUAUUAUGCAGACUGAAGAUCGUCGAAUUAAAGAAAAGACAAAUCGGUGAUAUUGGGUUCAUUAACACAAAUCUCAUAGAUGCAUUUAUGGUUGAAUUUCAGGCCAAAGAUACCGAGGCCAACCUGCUACAAUUGUUUGUACUGAAUCAAAACAAAGCUAUAAUACUCUUCCCUUACGAAUUCCAGUGAGUGUUACUGUCUUGUGCAUAUUCAGUUUCCCUUAUUAGUCAAGGUUAUAGUAAUGUAAUUGAUGAGUUAUGCAUACGUGCGCAGCUGCCACUAUAUUAUCCUAGAGAUUAAUCUUGAGCAAGGAAUAGUAACCGUCUUAGACUCGAGACGAAAAGAUCCCAAGGAGUAUGCGGACAUGACUGAAAUUCUACAGAAGUAAGUUAAAUCGAUCAUUAUCGCACCAUAUCGGCAACUUUAUUCAUUUCCUCAUAUCAAGUAAUUGUUUUCUUUGUCUGGCAGGGUUUGGAAAAAAUUCACAUCAAAAACUCCGGCACUGCCGAAGAAGCUACAAUUUAGACACCCAAAAGUAAGUACUAUAGUAGCAUGUGCCAUGCAUCUCCUAGUGAUUCAAGCGCUAGUUUCAUCAAUACCAUUUAGCAUGCUUGCUAACUAUCAGUUUGAUUGACCUCAAUUUCUUGUAAAGUGGUUGUGGCAGGAACCAGGCAAUGAUUACUGUGGAUACUACAUUUGCGAGUCCAUCUGCCACACGACCUGUGAGCGGGGCUACUCUGACAAACAAUAUGAAGUGCGUAAAUAAUAAUAUUCACAAUUUUAUUUUAGUACCAUCAUUUGUGUUCAGUUUCAUUUAUUCAUAUAUAUGUAUUGACCCCCUUCUUCAAAUUAGAUAUUUCGGAUGCGGGAUGAACUCCUACCACCAGAUCGUAUGCGAGGAAUUCAAGAGGAAUUGGCGGCAUUCUUUCUUGACCAUGUGAUCGCUAAAGACGGAGAAUACCAUGUGGACCCUAAUCAGUUGGUUUUUAAUUAGGAGAUUAUAUUGUAAGAGAUAAUUAUAUUGUGUAUAUGUAGCCAGUAGCGCCGGAUAGACAUACGAGAACUUGUUGUUCGACCAAUCUCUCACAGAAGGAGAUGUGGUCGAUAUCACUUCUCUGUGUAUGCAUAUGUUCAUGACGAUCUUCUGUUUCCUUCAUUUGCUUACUAGCUAGCGUGUCUAGUCCUCUUUAUACGUAUAAUACGUAGCAUCGACCAAGCACAGAGAUAAGAGAGGACAUUUCUCUCUAUUAAUUAGCUAGCUAACACAAUAUAUGAAACACCUAUUAACCCCCCAAAACCCCCUNNNNNNNNNNNNNNNNNNNNNNNNNNNNNNNNNNNNCCAAAAAAAAAAAACAAAAACCCCAGCACCUGAAAAUGCUGACGCGUGGAUGCCUAUUGGUCCUGGUUGGUGCCACCAACUGGGACCAAGGGGCCUCCUGCCUGGGCUCGCCGCACCGGCCACGUGGAGGCCCAUCUGUCCCGGUUCAUGUAAGAACCGGGACUAAAGGCCAAAGGCAUUAGUAACGACCUUUUUGUCCUAGUUCCAAAACCGGGACAGAAGGCCCUUACGAAUCGGGACAAAAGGCCCUUCUUCUACUAGUGAUGACAUGGCCAUUAAGCACAAUCUCUGUCAGUAUUAGGUGGAGCCGGGCGGGACCCACAUUUUUCCAUGUCGGCGUGGGACCCAGAUGGAGGCUACUACGGUUAAAUAGUUUUCCCUUGCGCGCGCAUCCUCCCUCUCCUUCUUCUCCGGCGACGAAGCACCGCAACGCUGGUGAGCUCCGAUUUAGACAAGAAUAUUUACAAUCAUUCAAUCAAAAUUGAUCGAAUUCAAGCAACAUAGAUAGAGAUUUUAGCAAACAUAGCAGAUAGUUUGGUUUGAUUACACACGGAGUAGUAGCCGUAAUUUUAAUGGCGAGCUCAUCGGAGCAAAAGCCACACGGAGUACUUCGAUUACAUAACUCUACGCGGGUAUCUCGCAGCUCCUACCCCUAGUUAGAUCUCCAAAAUUGGGCUCACCUGAGCCCCAGGGGUGCGGCCCCGACGAGGCGGCGGCGCCGCUCAGUCGGAGUCGGAGGCGGAGGCAGCCCACCCCCUGUCGGCGCGGGAUUUCUCGAUGCCUUGCUGGAAGCGGAACUCGUCGAGCUCCUCUUGCAUCUGCCGGCGUGCAACGAGCUGUUGCGGAUCGUCCUCGGUGUGCUCCAUAAUCUCGGCGAUUACGCCGUCGAGGUCGCCGGCGUCGACGUAGUCUCCUGGCAGAAAGACGAGGUGUCUGGGCGUAGUGCCAAGCCCAGCUCCUCCCCCUCCCUCUUCGGAGGCGGCAUCGGUGCGCGUGCAAUGGAGGAGCUCCCCGCGCCACCCGCGCCAGAGGAGCUCCCAAGUGGUCGCCUCGCACCGCAGUCUCGUGCCGCCGCCGCCAUCUAGCGGUCGUACUCCUCCACCUCGUGCCGAUUGAACGCACGGAGUGGCACGAGCCCCCAUUUCAUGUACUUGCACGCGAUGUGCUUCCGAGCAGCGUCGGAAGCAACCAGCGCCGCCCGUUCCAGGUCAGAGUCGGGCGCCGACCGCUUCGCCCCUUUCUAAUCCUUGUCGGAGAGGUUUCCACCGCCGGAAUGGCCGUCGCGCGAGCUGAAAGAUCCGGGCCUCAUGAUCGUCGCACGGCAACGCUUGAUCUGCGGCGGCGGGCCUGGAUUGCGUGCGUUUGAUGGUCUCCGGCGGCGAGAGUGGCGCAUAUUUGGAUGUGUAAAUAGUUAGGGUACGACACAUUUUAUCGCAUAACUAGAGGAUUUAACUAGUAACACUAACAUCCCUGGCCCAUGAGUCAGAUUGACCGGUGAGCCCCCCACGUGAGCUCGAAUAAACCUUUUCUAUUUACUGAAUAAUCCAAAAAAUGUUAUAAACUUGUAAAUUCGAUAUCUUUUGCAAUGCAAUUCAUUUAAACGGAAUUGUCAACACAUCAGUACCCUAUACAUCAUCUUGCACACGCAAAAUCACUUGUCAAAUUCAUUUUCAUGUUUGAAACUUGUUUAAAUGUUGGUCAAACUUAGGUUUGACCCAAUUUGAAAUGAGCAUAAAAAAUCAAAAAAUUUGAAAACCAGUGCACAUGUUCUUAUUUUGUCAUAUACUAACAACUCAAAUUGAUUUGGCUGUUUUAGACAUGGUGGACAAAAAACUUGCUUAGAAAUGGGUUGUUUAUCCUACCUUUGGAGCUAAUUUGGAACUCAUGUGUGAAGACAAGUGGUUUUGGGUGUUGAACUUGAAACUUCCGAAAACCUGACGAAAUCUUCAUUUUGGAGUGACUAAGAAGGAUCCACGCCUGGUUUUCAUUUUCAUGUUUGAAAUUUGUAUAAAUGUUGGUCAAACUUAGGUUUGACCAAGUUUUUAAUGAGCAUAAAAAAUUCAAAAAAAUCAAAAAAUUGGAAAACCAGUGCACAUGUUCUUACUUUGUCAUAUACUAACAACUCAAAUUGAUUUGGCUGUUUUAGACAUGGUGGACAAAAAACUUGCUUAGAAAUGGGUUGUUUACCGUACCUUUGGAGCUAAUUGGAAAUUCAUGUGUGAAGACAAGUGGUUUUGGGCGUUGAACUUGAAACUUUCAAAAACCUCACAAAAGCUUCAUUUUGGAGUGACUAAGAAGGAUCGAGGCUUGGUUUUCAUUUUCAUGUUUGAAACUUGUUGAAAUGUUGGUCAAACUUAGGUUUGACCCAGUUUGAAAUGAGCAUACAAAAUUCAAAAAACACAAAAAAUUGGAAACCGAGUGCACAUGUUCUUACUUUGUCAUAUACUGACAACUCAAAUUGAUUUGGCUGUUUUAGACAUGGUGGACAAAAAAACUUGCUUAGAAAUGGGUUGUUUGAAAACCAUACAACCUUGUUGGUGAUAGUCAAGUUUGUGAAGGCUUUUUCAUGAAAAACUCCAUAGUCCAAGUUUCUUAUUUUUUCUAUCGAGUUAGUUCAUAGAACGAUGAUUGGCACAAGUUUUCUAUUUUUUGAUUUUUUUUAAUUAGUUAUGCUCGACCCUAACCCUUGAAAACCCUACAACCUCGCUCAUGAUAGCCAAGUUUGUGAAGUCUUUUUCAAGAAAAACUCCAUAGUCCAAGUGUAUUAUUUUUCCUAUCGAGUUAGUCACAUAGAACGAUGAUUGGCACAAGUUUUAUUUAUUUAUUUUUUGAAUUAAUUAUGCUCAACCCUAACCCUUGAAAACCUCUCAAAACCCCAUCAAAACCCCGCACCUGUCCGGACCAUUGGAUCACCGUGAAUGGACGGUCUGGAUUAGGCAGUAGGGCUACGUCAACGAUCCAAGGGUUGUGCUUUCAUUGGCUGGUCUUUUUAGCUCCUUUCUUUUGGCAGCAUUCUGAAGCAUGGGUCCACACAGAUUGAGGAGGCGUGCCCCGCGUUUUUGAGCUUAAUUUAAUCUGGCCCACCCCUUGGACCGUCUCUUUCUUUCUCUGCAAAAACGAGGAGCCCGGCCGGCCCAGCUCCACCUAAACGUUACGCUCCUCCCCCUCGAUUAACUGAAGAAUUGAUGGGCAUGGUUUCAGACAUGAUGGAUGCCACGAGGGCAACGUGGAAGGAGGAUCUGAUUCAUUUGGUUUUCCUACCGGCUGACGGUGAUACAAUUCUAGCAAUUCCAUUGUGCACGAUACCGAUAGUUGAUUUCUAGGCAUGGUUGUUCGAAAGAACUGACCUCUUCUUGGAUAGUUCAACAUACAAAAUGGUGAUCAAUACUAGGGAGAAUAGUGUGAAUGGAAAUGUUGGUUCAGCUGGGGCUCACGGGACUCUAGAAGGGAUGGAGGGGCCUUCCUCGCAGUCACAUACUAUACAUCGGAUGGGGGGUGGAGGGGCCCUCCGGAUUCUUACCUGAAGAUCAAUGUAGAGAUUGUUGUAUCACACGACUGCACACAGGGAGUGGCAGCCGCUAUAUGUCGUGACCGCGAUGGUUUUUUCUAAGGAGCUUCAGCGAUGGUUUUCAAGGGUAUAGGGGAUGCACCUACACUCGAAACUCUGGCGAUUCGGGAGGCUUUUUCCCUAGCAAAUGAUCUAUACAUUCAGCAUAUACAUAUUGCUUCGGAUUGCAAGGUGGUGGUUGACGAUAUCAAGGACAAGCAGCCUACAACAUACAAUGCUAUUUUACAUGAAAUUUUAGAACACAAAUCGUCUUUUCAAGCAUGCAAUGUAGUGCAUGAAUAUAUGAGCCCAAAUGUCGAGGCUCACAAUUUAGGGAAAUAUGUUUUGAGGUUAGGGGAAGGCCGACAUGUAUGGCUAGGCACCCCGGGAGAUUUAUCAUUUGUACCUUUGAACGUUGAUCAAUAAAGUUUCGCGAGAUUGACUAAAAAACUGAAGAAUUGCUGCACUCUGUUAAUUGAAGAAUUGCUGCUUUUUAUGAAUUCAAUUGCUGCAUUUUAUUCGUCAGGGGAAGCAAAUAAUCAAUGGACUACCUAGAACUAUAACUGAGAAUAUCAUUACAAGAAUUCAGGCAGGUUUAGCUUCACACAAAUUCAAAUUGAGCUAACAAAUGAUCCAUGACUAACUGAAACUACUUGCUUGACGCACUAAGUGAAACUCUAACAAGUUCUAGCGAUUGAUGAACAUCAAGUAAAAGAAACCCGGGCCACACAAGAAACCCAUAGAAAUGACACAACAAUAAAAUGCUCCAGCCAUCAUACUUGCUAGCUGCUUCAAAUCGAUCAGCUGCUUUAGUUGCUUGUGGAUCAAUCUUUGCAAAUUCAAUCUCCCACUUCACAAUUGUAUCUCCCUCUAUGUCCUGCAUGCUACCAUCACCUAGCUUCUCCUUAGAAAGAAGAAAUUCCACAGUGAAUUCGAACGUCCGAGCACCACCACCCUUGUUUGCCAAUGACGGGGCAGUGUGAGGUGAGCUAGCAGAAGCAGACGAGGCACAAAUCGCAUAGGUUGGAAAGGAUGUUGUUGUCUCUCGCGGCUCCAUCGCGGUCACCUCUCCUCCCCCCCACCCAAACCUAGAUCAAAUCGACCAAAAACAGGCAAUGCGGUGAGAUCUAACUCGACACAGAGGAGAAGAGGACAGGGUUCCGGAUUCACUCGCCACAGCCGACGCCGUCACCGAGAAUGAAAGCCCCGUCGUUGCUGUCAUCGAGAACAAAAGCUCUGCCGCCGCCGGCGGCGACUCACCGCCAGAAACGAAGAGGAGGGAGCAACACAGGUUCAGACAGGGGUACCCGUUCGGACAGGCACGGGGACACGUUUCACCUGGUGCAGUGACAAGUGGGGCCCAUAACUAGAUGCACUGCCGAGUAGGGACCGUGCUUACGUGGAUAAGUCGUGGGUCCAGCCCCUAACAGCUAAUUAGGGCAUCAGUUCAUAUUAAGGGCCAUGUCGUGUCUGGGCUAUUUCCUUGCUUAAAAUUGUCGCACCAAGGCAAUUUGAAGGAAAGACGUCUCACUCCUAAUUUACCUCAAAGGUGUCGCACCUGAGCUAUUGACCCUGCAUCACCAUGGCUGCAUUGGAGAAUUUUACUUCUUCGCCCUCUACACCAACUAAUAAUGCACAGAGGAUAUCUAGUCUUGGUUAUGCAUCGAGCCUAGUCCUUAAUAUAUACGUGAGUAUCACAAAAGACUGGUCCUCAAAAAUAAAUAGAAAUCUAUAUUCGUUUUGGAAGAAUUUAACCCUAGGUCUUCAUUCUCUCACCAGGUUGAAUUAGACUCACUUCCUACAACCUUUUGAAGCACUAUCCGUCGUGUCUGUCUAGCAACUAGUACAACCUAGAACAAAAAGGACACCACUUUCUGCUCUCAUAAUGCAAAAAUUCUAUACAACGGAAUUCAGCCCACUGAUCAAUAUUAUCUUAUCACCGACUUAAACUAGUAUACUAAGUAUCUGCUAUUAACAACAGCCGACGAAACCAUUCGAUACCACAAACUCUGCCGCUCCAUGACAUGGAAGGUGUGAGGUGACAUGCCAAGAGGACUAAACAAGCCACAACAAUUUCAUAGACCAACUAUUAUAGAACUAAUAAAGUACCAUCACUGGGCCACUAAUCAGUAAACCAAACCCUGCCCCUAUCAUCAUCCACUAAUCACCAAGUGGCAGCAAGCAAAGAAAAAAUAAACACAUUAUCAACACCACACACACAAUGCAGAGAAGCCAUGAUUGACCUCCGCUAUAAAAAGCACUCCAAAGCCACUCCCUUUCCUCAUCUCUCUCUCGCUCACCUAUACAUCAUCAUCUCCUCUGCCUAACAAGCUAAGCAGCUCAGCUCAAGCAUCGGCAAUGGAGGGCAAGGAGGAGGACGUGCGUCUGGGCGCGAACCGGUACUCGGAGCGGCAGCCGAUUGGGACGGCGGCGCAGGGCGGCGGCGCGGACGAGAAGGACUACAAGGAGCCGCCGCCGGCACCGCUGUUCGAGGCGGAGGAGCUGACGUCGUGGUCCUUCUACCGCGCGGGGAUCGCCGAGUUCCUGGCCACCUUCCUGUUCCUGUACAUCAGCGUGCUCACGGUGAUGGGCGUGGUGGGCAACCCCUCCGGCUCCAAGUGCGGCACCGUGGGCAUCCAGGGCAUCGCCUGGAGCUUCGGGGGCAUGAUCUUCGUGCUCGUCUACUGCACCGCCGGCAUCUCCGGCGGCCACAUCAACCCCGCCGUCACCUUCGGGCUGUUCCUGGCCAGGAAGCUGUCGCUCACCCGGGCCGUGUUCUACAUGGUGAUGCAGUGCCUGGGAGCCAUCUGCGGCGCCGGGGUGGUGAAGGGGUUCCAGACCACGCUGUACAUGGGCAACGGCGGCGGCGCCAACUCGGUGGCGCCGGGGUACACCAAAGGCGACGGCCUGGGGGCGGAGAUCGUGGGGACCUUUGUGCUCGUGUACACCGUCUUCUCCGCCACCGACGCCAAGCGCAGCGCCAGAGACUCCCACGUCCCC